rnacentral:lncRNA from 1 species
GUAGAGGUGGCCUGCACUCCUCAGCUUGUGCUGCCCGUCUCGAAUGACUGGAGUUUCCUGCUUCUGUCACUACACCUCCCACCCUCUCCCAUCACCUGCUCUGCUCUUACAAGGAUCCGAAGAAAUGGAAUAAUCGUAUCGCUGAUCUAUGUAAACAAAUUGAAGAAUUGUCUGAAAGAAAAUAUGACAUGAACUUAUGAAUUCAACAGGUGAAGAUUUACAACUUGAUAAAUCAGCUUUGUGAGCUCGAGCUGUAAAAGCCAAAGGUCCGGUGAUGAUCCCAUACCCUUUUUUCCAGUCUCAUGUUGAAGAUUUUUAUGUAGAAGGCCUUCCCAAAGGAAUUUUUUUUUUUUUUUUGAGAUGGAGUUUUCACUCUUAUCGCCCAGGCUGGGGGGCAAUGGCGCAACCUUGCUGGUCACUGCAACCUCUGCCUCCUGGGUUCA